rnacentral:lncRNA from 1 species
GAUUUCAGCCAGGCAGCUAGCAAAGCUCGCGGGUGAACUGCACAGGCCAUGGUGGGUGCAGAGCUCAGAGCCGGAAAGCAAACAGCUGCUGUAGCCUGAUUUGAGUUAAAAUAGUGUGAGUGUUUAGUCUGGCGCACGGCUUCAGGGGAGAUUGGCAGCUGGGUCAAACAAAGUCCUUCCAUUGGCUCCCUUCCCAGGCAGCUUCUGCUAGUGUUUAGGUACUAGUGCAGUGUAGAACCCUUUUCUCAGGCAAAACCUAACAUCUGACCGCACCCUUUUUGCUAUUAAAAAAAAAAAAAAGCUUCUAUUUUUUUCCUCCUGUCGUUAAGAUAAAUUCUCCAGUAGACAACCUCUCCCACUAAUUGUGUAUUAGCAACGUAUUUUAUCUUGAGAGCUUGUACACUGGGCUCUCAACGUGGUGUGGAAGGUAGCCUGUUACAGUGCUGGAUUCAUAAAAGGGCCUUUAUGGUUUGUGAAAGAAUAUCUGUGUGCUUAGGGAGGAAACUUUUUGAUCUGCAGAAAAGCCAGAAGACAUCUAGGACAUCCAUAAAAAUUCAUCAGAGAGCAUUUUACUACUGAGCUGCAAAGAUGACAAGAGCACCUCAAAGGCAGCAGCCUCAAGGAGCAGCCAUGGCCCCAGACUUGUCGCACGGAUGCAGAAAACUUAAUGGAGGAGGCUGAGGUCAGAAUGGGAAGAGUUUUUAAAAAAUAAAAAGGGGAGCUAAUAUGUGAGGAACUGAUUGCUGUGCAUUAUUUUCCACUGAACAGACCUUCUUUUAACUUCUAAUCUCAAGCACAUAGCAGCUGUUGUUUUCAUAUUAAAGAUCAGUAAGUGUUUGUUGAAUGAAUGUAUAAAUUCUUCCCCAAUCUCUGUUCCAUGUAAUAAGAACUAAGUUAGCAUUCAAUUAUAAAGAGGACUUAGAAAGUCUGCAGACAUUUUUGAUCAAAAAUCCUUUUAACUGUCUUCUUAUGGUUCCCGGUAACACCUAAGCCCAAAAAACUCAGGUCAUUUCUUGCCUGUACUGUUGCAAUAGCCUCAUAAUAACUAGUCUUCUCCUUUAUCAACCACAGUCGUCUCCGCUACACAAAGAAGAGAGGGUGCUAAUCUAAAGUGUAAAUUAUUUUAAAUCAGCACCCUUCUUGUAAUUUCCCAGUGGUUUUUCCUGUCAUAAGAAUAACAUGCAAAAUUCCUUGCUUGCAAAGCCAGGUAUGACCUUGCCCCGUCUACCUUACUGGCAUCGUCUCUCAUGACUCUUCCCCUUUUUCACUCUCCAUCUUGCCUUUUCCCAACCAUGCCUGCUAGUGAGCCUUAGCCCUUGUGUUUUCUCUGCCAGGGAUGCAUGACUGGCUUCUUUACUUUAUUCUGAUCUCUCUGCUCAAAUGUCAUCUUUUUAGAGAUAGCUUUCCUAAACAUCUUUAAAAGUACCCCAUGAACUGUGAAACACCUUUCCUGCUUUUUCUUCAUAGUACUUAUCACUUCCUGAUAUUAUGUUAGACAACAAGCAAAUAAGUAUAUGCUGUUCCCACUAAAAUAUAAGCUCCAUUUGAACAGGAGCCUUGAUUAUUCCUGAGUAUACCCCUAGUGCCCAGAACCUAGUAGGGCUUUAAUAAAUAUUAGAUUCAUUUGUUGAAUGAAAAAAUGAAUGAAUAAUUGAAUAAAGAUAUCCAGGUAGAGUGUCCGGGCAGCCCAACCUAUGUGAAGCCAGUACAAGAAUGUUUCUGUGACAUAGUGAGCGCAAUUAUUCCUCUAAAUGAUGAACUUGCAUGAGUACACAAGGAUAAAAUUAAGCACGUAGUUUAGAUUUCUGCAAGUCUCUUCCUCAGAUUGAGGAAAAACAAAGAAAUUGAGCUUAUUCUCACCUCAUUCUUACAUGAACUAAAUCCAGAAUAAAGCAUCAUUUAAAUACCAAGCACAUCCCUACCUCAGCCACUCAUGGAAUACUUUAUCUGUAAAGGGACAGAUAGAUAGUAAAUAUUUUUGGCUUUGGGGACCGUACAGUCUGUGUCGCCACUACUCAGCACUUCUGUUGAGGUGUGGAAUCAGCCCUAGACAACACAUAAACAAAUGGGUGUGGCUGUGUUCCAAUAAAAUGUUAUUUAUAAAACUAGGAAAUCAGCAGAUUUAGUCCACAGGCUGUAGUUUGCUGACCCUUGAAUUAGAGAGUCUUCCCCAAAUCCUCUUCCCAAGUUAUUGAAAGAAUGCCCAUAGGACCAUAGCUCCCUCACCUGGUUCUUUCAAGAAAUGAGACAAAUUCAGGGAUGGUUGGAGGGUGGAACGCCUACCUGUGACAUGACUAUUGAGCCUGAUUUCUUUCCUUUUAUCUCUUUAAAGUGAGUCAGGUCUUAACUUUAAACUGUCUCUAAAGUGGCAAUAACUGGGCCAUGUCAAAUACUCCCAAUGACAAAAUUUCUUCUUGGAGAAUGAAUGAGGGUUGCAUACAGUGGUGUGUUGGUAAAUGUUUAGCAACUGGCUCUCUUACUGAUUUCUGUAGUGUAAAUUCUCCCAUCCUGGCCAUCUGAAACUACCAAUAUGAUGUCACUUGAUGUAGAGUUGGGAAAAGACAGUCUCUUGAAUAAGUAUGAGCUGGUUCCAGCCCACUGCUGAACACAUAUUUAAAAGCUACAAUAGCUCUGCUCACUGCCAUUGCAGAGUCUGGAGGAAAGAGUAGCAGGCUUGAUAGGAGCAAUUGGCUGAAUAAUCUUUUGCAAUGCCAAUAAAUAAUGAAAAAGUAUAUAAAUAUAACGCUGUAUAGAAAGCUCUCAAGUUCAGUGUUUGGUUAAAAUACAUACUCAGUAAAUGGUAGCUAUUAUUGUCUUAGUUUAAGUUAUUGCAAGCAUUAAAAUUAAAUGUUUAGCUACAGACUCAAUCCAGUUUUAAUGUCAUUGUGUUAAUAAGGCCUCUUAACAUUGAAGCAACAAAGAUAAAGGAAUUUUUUUGUAGCUAUUCACGAUUCUGCCCAGCUCAAGGUAAAGAUAGCAACAAAAUACUCCAACCAGAAUAAAAGAAGUCUCCACUUGACUGCAGCUCUUCGCAACACUUCACAAGGGUCAAGCUGUGUUAGUUUCCUUCAGUGUUAAACAGAAUGCAUCUUAAGAGAAUAGUUCAAUUAUUGAUUGAAUAGUAGGUUCAAGUUGACUAUAAUCCCAACUAAUACACUCUAAGACCAGGGAUGGGCCGACAGAAGGGUAAAGUUUUCCACUCAAGUCUCGAGGCAAACACUCAGAUAGAAGUAGUAAUAUGGAUGCCUUCUAUUAUUUGGUCACAUACAAUACUGUUCCAGCCCAGUUGUGCAAAACUGGUGAAAUAAAAGGCAAAAAUAUUGACAACAGUUUGGGUAACUGGAUUCCAAAAUGGGCAUCCAUCUAAGAGAAAUUAAUGAAAAAAAAGCAUAUGGACCUUGAAAUACAUUAAUACACAGUUUAGGUUUAAACACUCAGUUUUUAUUAGAAAAGACUAACUUAUCCUGUUUUGAACACUACAAAAGUGCUUUCUGAACCAUUUACUCUCAAACCUCCUCCACCCAUUCCCCUCCAUCUAUAACGCUUUCUGCACAUCUGUAAAAGGUAUGACUUAGUGUUUGGUCUGUGAAAUAAGGUUAAAAAGGAAGCAUUUCUUUUUACAUUCUAGCUAAUGUUGAUAUUUUUCUCAUGCUUCUAUUAGCACAUAAUUCAGAUACAUUAGUUUUGAAGUUUUGAAUCUUCUCUGCUUCUUGAGGGCUCUCUGUUCUAGAUCAACAUGAUCUGUGGAACACCAGCCAAGUCCUGGGCAGAACCCUCCCCGUUGUCCAAAUAUUACUGAAUCAGUUGAGUUUUCUCUGUUGUCAAUGAAUUAUUCCACAUGUUUCUUUGGCUACAUUUUUUUUGGCUUUCUGUUCACAGUAAAUAUAGCCUUUGUUUUUAAAAACUUCUAUUAUGAAAAUUCCAAAUAUAUGCAAAUUAGAGAGAAUAGCAUAAUGAACCUCUAUGUGCUUAUCACACAUAUAGGUUCAACUAAUUAAAUUAUAUCAAUUUAUGGCCAAUCUGGUUUCAUUUAUAACAUCAUUCGCUCAUUCCUAACUCCCUGGAUUAUUUGAUUGACAUGUUUCUAAAGUUCCUUUUAAUCUGUAGGUUCCCCCUCUCAUUUAAUCUUUUGCAACUUAUUCAUUGAUGAAACUGGGUUAUUUGUCCUUUAUUGUUUCUCUCAUUCUGAAAUAUGCUGUAAUGUCAUUAACCAUAUUCUUCUUUCCUGUAUUUUCUGUAAGCUUUGAGCUAGGCAGAAAUAUUUUAAUCAGAUUCCUUUUUUUUUCUUUUAGCAAGAUUUCUUCAUAAAUAAUAUUGUAUGUGUUCAUGAAAAUAGAAAUAAAAAUAGAAAUAAAGAAGAAAUAACAGAAAA